rnacentral:lncRNA from 1 species
GAUAGAGUGGUUGCUCUGUUGCCCAGACUAGAGUGCAAGGGUGCAAUCAUAGUUCACUGUAACCUUGAACCUCUGGGCUCAAGCGAUCCUCCCUCAUCGACCUCCCAAAGUGCUGGAUUACAGGACUGAGCUACCGCGCGUUUCUUGUUCUUUAACUUAUUCUACAAACAUUAAUGCGUACUCACUGUGUGCCAGACUGAUCCUGGCUCAAGCUGCUGGCACGCAGCUUCCCAUAAAUGUAAGCUGUUUCUGCCCAGCUCCCACAGUCAGGCCAGAAACAGCUGGGUAGAGACUUCCCCGCUGAAGUCGAGGGGGCGGGCUCCCCGAGCCUGCUUCCCUUGAAGCCAGGCAAAGACCACGUAGGAGGUGGUCACUGUGCCCACCAAAUCCAGGCGAUCUUCCCGGAUGCUUUUAGUGCACUGUAGGCACUCAAUAAAUACUUCUCGAAUAACUUAAAUGGGACAAAAUUCAUCAACAUGGCAUAAUUCUGUAGGUAUUAAUUAGGCGGCCAACGCCUUCUCCCGGAAGAACGUGUGUUCUAAUAUUAUCUUAUUUUUUGACGUUGCAAUGUCCUUCUUAUAUGAAACAGUGAUCAUGGCAGAACAUAGAAUAAUUGUUAAAGCAUGAAGUUGACAACCCCAUAGUUUCGAAAUUUUGUUUCUGCAAUCCGCAGCUUUGGGAAGCACUGAAUUACAAAACCUGAAAACCCUCAUAUAUGUGGCGGCUUAGAGGCCGGCCUAGGCUGGAGCGGAGGUCUUGGGAAGCGCUGGGCCGCUCGUAAAGUCAAUGGUGAGUCUCCCGGCUUUCGGCUUUCGGCUUUCGGCGGCAGCCGGGUGUGAGGUUCCACGGGCAAAGCCAGCCAGAGGGUUGACAGAAAUAACUGGAUAAAUCUGUGCCCCUGCCCCUGCCGGCUCACACGGCUGCAGCCCACGGCUGGAGCCAAAAAUAACCGCGCAGUUGACGCCACGGUUUCUUUAGCGUCUUGCUGGAGACAUUGACUUUCAGAGCCCCUGUCCCGCCUUCCAUUCCCCACUACUUGGCAGCCCACCGCGUCCACCCGCGGAGCUGCGGAAGCCAGGGCCGGGCAAAGGACACUCUACGAGGCACAGCCUCCGGCAGGGCCACACUUACAAUGUAGACAGGAAAAUAGAGGAUUUAAAUUCAAAAAGUAAUACGAGCUCGAUUUUUUUAAAAACCGGAAGCAAAGAAGGAUCCCAGGAACAGCCACUGUUUUCAAUUCUGGGCGAGUCCUUCCAGGCGAUUUUUCCACGCUCUUAUAGACGAACAAAUAAAUAAAAGCAGAACUAUAUUUCAUAGGCUGUUUUGCAAUUUACCAUUUCAAAAAAAUUUAAUCUGCAGUGAUCAUCUUCUCUGCUGAACCAGUUCUUGCUGUCCCUUGACUGUAGAAUUAAGUAUUCCUUUAGUUGGGGAAAGCCUAAUUCCCCUAAAGACUGGAGGGACCUUGGGGUUGUUUUUCCUUAAUAUAAACACUGUGAAGUAAGCUCCGAAGGCAGGGUUCUUCUAGACCUUUGACUGUUUCUGUGGGAUAAGUUUCUAGCAGUGUAAUUACUGCUUCGAAAGAUUUACACACACAAUUUAAAUAUAUUUCAUUUACUGUAAUAGGUAAUUGUAAAAUAGAUAAUUAAUUCAUCAAAACAUCUUUUUUUCAGACAUCAGGAGAUGGGAGGUCUCACUAUUUUGGGUUUAAGCUGGACUCAAGUGCUCACAUAGCUGGGAUUACAGGUGGGAGCCACUGCACUUUUUAAAAAGUAUCCGGUGAAAAACCUCUCCCAUCCCUGUCCCCAUCACCCACUUCCCACCUGGUUCAAGGACUUUCUAAUAUGUCCUUCCAGAUAAUGUUUAUGCCUAUGGAAAUCAGUGCAGUUAUAUAACUUUUUUCUUCCAAUAUAUCUUGGGGUGUAAAUAACUUUUUGUUUGUUUUUUUUAUAGAUGCAUAAUAUUCCAUUUAAGUGGACUAGGUGGAUCAUAAUGUAUAUCAUAUAACCAGUACCCUAUUUGUGGACAUUUGGUUAUUUUCUUAUCUGUUGCUAUUAUAUGUAAUCCUGAAAUAAAUAAACUUGUUUCUUAGUCAUUUC